GCGUCCGUAGCUCAGCGGUAGAGCAGCCGGCUCAUAACCGGUCGGUCGCAGGUUCGAACCCUGCCGGGCGCACCA
rnacentral:tRNA from 1 species